CAGCCGCCGCGGUAAUACAGAGGGUGCAAGCGUUAGUCGGAAUUACUGGGCGUAAAGCGCGCGUAGGUGGUUCGCCAAGUUGGAUGUGAAAUCCCCGGGCUCAACCUGGGAACUGCAUCCAAAACUGGCGAGCUAGAGUAUGGUAGAGGGUGGUGGAAUUUCCUGUGUAGCGGUGAAAUGCGUAGAUAUAGGAAGGAACAUCAGUGGCGAAGGCGACCACCUGGACUGAUACUGACACUGAGGUGCGAAAGCGUGGGGAGCAAACAGGAUUAGAUACCCGAGUAGUCCCUGUCUCUUAUAA
rnacentral:rRNA from 1 species